UGGAGGGGGCCUGGAGGGGGACUGCAGCUCCUCCUCUUCCUGCUUCCUCCCUGCUCCACCCCGUGCCUAGGGCAGCACAAAAGCCAAUCGCUAGCAAACUCCCUGCCUAGCAAGGCCCAGCCUGGGGCAGAAAUGGCUGCAAGUGGCCGAGGUCUCUGCAAGGCUGUGGCCGCCUCUCCCUUCCCGGCGUGGAGACGAGCUAACACGGAAGCCAGGGGAGGUCUGAAGCCUGAGUAUGAUGCGGUGGUGAUAGGAGCAGGACACAACGGACUGGUGGCUGCAGCGUACCUGCAGAGACUGGGGGUGAACACCGCCGUCUUCGAGAGGCGCCAUGUGAUCGGGGGUGCAGCUGUCACUGAGGAGAUCAUCCCAGGGUUUAAGUUCUCCCGUGCGUCCUACCUGCUCAGCCUGCUGAGGCCGCAGAUUUACACUGAUCUGGAGCUGAAGAAACAUGGGCUGAGGCUUCAUCUUCGAAACCCCUACUCCUUCACCCCCAUGCUGGAAGAGGGUGCAGGCAGCAAGGUGCCCAGGUGCCUUCUGCUGGGCACAGACAUGGCAGAAAACCAGAAGCAGAUCGCCCAGUUCUCCCAGAAGGAUGCCCAGGUCUUUCCCAAAUAUGAGGAGUUCAUGCAUCGCUUGGCAUUAGCCAUUGACCCUCUGCUGGAUGCGGCCCCCGUGGACAUGGCGGCCUUCCAGCAUGGCUCCUUGCUGCAAAGGAUGAGGUCGCUCUCCACCCUCAAGCCCCUGCUGAAGGCAGGCCGCAUCCUGGGAGCCCAGCUUCCCCGAUAUUAUGAGGUCCUCACAGCUCCCAUUACCAAGGUGCUGGAUCAGUGGUUCGAGUCUGAGCCUUUAAAAGCCACUCUAGCCACAGAUGCAGUGAUUGGAGCCAUGACAAGUCCCCACACUCCGGGGAGUGGGUAUGUGCUGCUGCAUCAUGUGAUGGGGGGCCUGGAGGGAAUGCAGGGGGCCUGGGGCUACGUCCAGGGGGGCAUGGGUGCCCUCUCUGAUGCCAUCGCAAGCUCAGCCACCACGCAUGGAGCAAGCAUCUUCACUGAAAAGGUGAACGGCCCCUCUACUCCACCCCAGUUAUUGACAGUGGCGAAGGUGCAGGUGAACAGUGAAGGCUGUGUUCAAGGAGUUGUGCUGGAAGAUGGCACAGAGGUGAGAAGCAAAAUGGUGCUGUCCAACACAUCACCGCAGAUCACCUUCCUGAAGCUGACGCCACAGGAGUGGCUUCCUGAGGAGUUCCUGGAGAGAAUCUCUCAGCUGGACACCCGGUCGCCUGUCACCAAGAUCAAUGUGGCUGUAGACAGGCUGCCCAGCUUCCUGGCGGCCCCCAAUGCUCCCGGGGGCCAGCCGCUGCCCCAUCACCAAUGCUCCAUCCACCUGAACUGUGAAGACACCCUCCUCCUUCAUCAGGCCUUUGAAGAUGCCAUGGAUGGCCUGCCUUCCCACAGGCCUGUGAUUGAGCUCUGCAUCCCUUCCUCGCUGGACCCCACCCUGGCUCCCCCUGGCUGCCAUGUAGUCUCCCUCUUCACUCAGUACACGCCCUAUACGCUGGCUGGAGGCAAGGCCUGGGACGAGCAGGAGAGAGACACUUAUGCAGACAGAGCACAGCUGACUGCACGAACCAAAGGAGAAGCAUGAGCCAGAGAGACAAGGAAGGCUUUCAAAGGAAGGGACGGUCAAGCUGGGUUUCCGAGGAUGACUAGGAGCUGGCCAGGCAGCAAAGGGCAUUCCAAGCAAGAGAAACAGCUUGAUCAGGCCAGGCGUGGGGGCUCAUGCCUGUAAUUCCAGCACUUCGGGAGGCCGAGGCAGGCGGAUCACCUGAGUGUUCGAUUGCAUCGAGGUCUAUGCCCCUGGCUUCAAGGACUCUGUGGUUGGCAGAGACAUCCUCACACCACCAGAUUUGGAGAGAAUCUUCGGGCUUCCUGGAGGGAAAAUAUCCUGGAAGGAGAAGAACAUUUGCUGAAGAACAGGGGAGGGGAAGAAACCCAGCCAGAGCAGGAAAGGCUGUAACUCUCCUGUGCUGAUGACUGUGGCCCUGCCUCUGCAGAACAUAUUCCACUGCGCCAUGUCCCUGGACCAGCUCUACUUCGCCCGCCCCGUGCCCCUGCAUUCUGGCUACCGCUGCCCUCUCCAGGGCCUGUAUCUCUGUGGAAGUGGGGCUCAUCCUGGAGGAGGUGUGAUGGGAGCUGCUGGGCGAAAUGCAGCGCAUGUGGCCUUUAGGGACCUCAAGAGCAUGUGACCCUGAACCAGCUCUGACCCAGGAAGAAGACUCCACCCCUGAAUUCCAAGUGCUCCAUUGGAUCAGCUUCCCAGGAAGUUCAGCUUCGGGUUAGUACAUAAGGCCACCACAAUGCUCAAGAAAUUAUUUUAGAAAAAACAUACGAGUUACAUUUAGUGCAAGUUGACCUUAUGCCCAUGCCUCCAUACAUGGACUGGUUCUGUUUUAUUAAAACUAAUAUUUCAUACAGAUUA